rnacentral:tRNA from 1 species
GGGCCUAUAGCCAGUAGGUCUAGAGCGCACGCCUGAUAAGCGUGAGGUCGGUGGUUCGAACCCACCUAGGCCCACCA